rnacentral:rRNA from 1 species
AUAACGUAGCGAAAGUUACGCUAAUACCGCAUACGACCUGAGGGUGAAAGCGGGGGACCUGCAAGGGCCUCGCGCGAUGGGAGUCGGCCGAUAUCGGAUUAGCUAGUUGGUGAGGUAAAGGCUCACCAAGGCGACGAUCCGUAGCGGGUCUGAGAGGACGACCCGCCACACUGGAACUGAGACACGGUCCAGACUCCUACGGGAGGCAGCAGUGGGGAAUUUUUGGACAAUGGGGGAAACCCUGAUCCAGCCAUUCCGCGUGAGUGAAGAAGGCCUUCGGGUUGUAAAGCUCUUUCAGCAGGAACGAAACGGCAGGCUUUAAUACAGCCUGCUAAUGACGGUACCUGCAGAAGAAGCACCGGCUAACUACGUG